AGGGCCAGAAGAGGCGCGUUUACUAGGUAGUUAAUGGGAAGAGAUCAAACUCUUAUGAACAUUAACCAGGGAGUAUAACGCCGAGAUAAAUAUAUAUUUGAUGAUGUAUUUGUCGGUUGUUCAGGCUGAAUCCUGGCAACUGUCACCGUAAGGUGGAGAGCUUCUGGCCUU
rnacentral:ncRNA from 2 species